GCCGGAGUGGCGGAAUAGGUAGACGCACAGGUCUCAAAAACCUGCGAGCUUGCUCAUGUCGGUUCGACCCCGACCUCCGGUACCA
rnacentral:tRNA from 1 species